UCCUACGGGAGGCAGCAGUGGGGAAUUUUAGACAAUGGGCGCAAGCCUGAUCCAGCCAUGCCGCGUGCAGGAUGAAGGCCUUCGGGUUGUAAACUGCUUUUGUACGGAACGAAACGGCCUUUUAUAAUAAAGAGGGCUAAUGACGGUACCGUAAGAAUAAGCACCGGCUAACUACGUGCCAGCAGCCGCGGUA
rnacentral:rRNA from 1 species